GGGGCGCUAGCUCAACGGUAGAGCUGCGGCCUUUUAAGCCGUAGGCUGAGGGUUCGAGUCCCUCGCGCCCCACCA
rnacentral:tRNA from 1 species